AUUGGCCCCAUCUGCAGGUCCUCUUUGACACCUACCUUACUCUCUCCCUCCACUCACACUCUGAGAACUGUGCUCAGGGGCAGCGCUACAACUUCCACAUUGGUCUUUACAGGGCUUGAGUGAUUAUUUCAAGAACAGAACGCUGUGUGGAAACCUUUACCAUAUUUCGUUGUAUCUAAGACACAUUUUUUUUUUUUGAAAUUUAACAUCUCUAAGGUUGGGUUAUGUUUCUUCAUCAUUGUCAGGUUGGAGCUUAAUCAGCAGCACUUUUUUUUAAUGUCACACACAGUAAUGGUGAUGCAUCUCACAAUUGAGAUCAUCUUAGACAUGAUGGAAUAUGGAAUCGUGUGCCUGUUACAAGCCAGGCUCUUGUCUGGGUUCUAGAGACGGUGGAAACCAAGACAGCACCAUCCUCUAGUGGUGUUCACAUCCCACCACAGUGGAGUCAGGACUUUGAAGUCCUCCAUUGGAUCUUCUCGGAAGAUGAGGGAAAUGAGAGAGUGUGGAGAGAGAUUUUGUAAGUCCGGUCUGGAAGUGGUCAUUGUUCAGAAUCCAGCCACGUGGGUACAUGGAACUGUAAGACACCAAAGCCAUGACUUCAAGAAGUGACAUUUUCCACUUGAGUCUCUGCAGCAGUAGCAGGCAA
rnacentral:lncRNA from 1 species